UUCUUUUACAAAACCAGCGCCGCCGCCAUGGCUGCCGGCGGCGUCGCGUUGGUGCCGGUGACCUCCGCCUGCGACAUCGCAUAUUUGCAUGUGUACCGCGCGAUCCUCCGGAGAAUCCACGAUCCCUCUUGGUGCCUCCGGUCAGAUAUCCUCGCGCGCAGCCACUGCUCACGGCCCUAGCCCCUGGAGAUGCUGCAAGCGGAUAAGGUAGCGCCGUCGCGGGUGCCCAGUGACGGGGAUCGCCCAGAGCAGCGACGGCACUGGCGGUUUCGUUGCCUAGGAUACUUCCGCGGGCUUCUCGUGAGCUGAAAACCACCAAGCGCGCCGCGGGGCUGCCCCUGCAGGUGCAGCUGCAGCCUUCAGGGCCGGCUCGUCGCCUUGCAGGUCCCGUGCGUGCCUGCUCCAACUGCUCUGUCCUUUUCGGCCGCCUCGGCAUCGCCUUCAAGUUCGCCGAGCUGGAGUGUGAUUCGUCAAGGCACCUCCUCCCUCUCGCUUCGUCUUCUCUUCCCCCUCUAGAUUCUAGACUAGUCCCCGCUUCUCCCUUGCAUUUUUCUCUGAAUUGCAAUGCUGAUUGAUCUUCUGGCGUGAUUAAUCCAAUGUUUAGUUUGCUUGUAUUGCAUUUGUAUGUUGUAAUAUUUGAAAACUUAGAGUUGCCUAAGAUUAUAGAUGGUUAGGAUGAAGUAGCCUCAAGCAGAUUAAGUGAACCGUUGUGUGUUCCUUCUUGUUUUUUUAUUGUUUCAAUGAAUACUUGAGGUAUUCCUUAAUAUUGUUUGGCAGAUCUCUCGGGUUAUGGUUAGGCAUACAGCAUACCGUAGCUGCAAAUGUGGUGUGCAACUAUUUUACUUUGGGCUAUUGAUAAUGGUGUUGAGUUGCUUUAGUUUUGUUUAGGUGUGCCUUAUUUUUGCUUGUGAAAUGUGAUCUGCUGCUUACCUGUAAUUGAAAACGACCAUUGACAUGACCACUAGAAAUUAGUAUCAUACAUAGCUGGGAGAUUAUGCGGAAAUGAUCUUGAACUGUUGAUUCAGAGAAUGUGUUCUGUUUUUUUUUUCAAUGGAUAUUGAGUUGUUAGAAUCCAAUCUUCUGCCCCUGUUUUUUAAGUUUUUGGUGUUAUUUGACAGAUUUCCACAGUUAUGACUUGACACUUGGAUAAUUUCUUGUUCCAUAAGGACACUUGGACAAUUCUUAAAACAGCAGACGUUGUGUGCAGUGUGCCACCACUUUACUUGGGGGCCUUUGCUUCAUAAUGAUGCACUGCUGGUUUGGUUCAGACUUUUCUAAGCUUUUCUUUGCUGUUCUAUUGCGAUCCCUUAUUCUGAAAUGUUUACGUGUUGAUGAUUUGCUGAGGCAUCCUAGUAUAUUUCAAUAUUGCCCUCUGUGGUUGGAUUGGACAUUCAGAAUGACACUGCCAGGAAACCGAGGAGCCAUACAAGGAAUCUGCUUAGAGUUUAGCGUGGGAUUUAUAAGGCUAAAGUUGUUUGAGCAAAUAUUAGUUAUAGGUGGCUAGCUGACGGCAAUCAAAUGAUGCUAUAGUUAUUUCAGGGGCAACUUGUUGAGGGAUGCAACAACAGUUGCUUAUCCCCAGGUGUUGGCACCAUGGAUGGGCCAUAUAAGCCCAUAAGGAAGGCAGUUGCUGCUGGAAUGUAUGCCCUUCCCUCAAAGUCCCAGCUGUAGAAGAAAUUGGAUUAAGAUGAAGAGUUCGCAAAAGCUCAAAUGCAGAACGUCAUCAGGUCAUCAGCACCAGUAAGGCAGUAAUUUGCUAUGUCGAAAGGCCUAUUCGCCUCAAGGAAUUUGGGCAUAGAUUGGUGAAGAGAACUUAUGGGCACCUAUGCUUGAUGUACUAAUAAUCCAGUCAUAUGGUCUGCUGUGAGCUGGGCUCCAAAAACUUAAUCCUGGUUCCGAUGUUUGCAAGCUGUAACCAAAUCAACAAGUUUUGGUCUAUUACUGCUUAGCA